rnacentral:rRNA from 1 species
UACGUAGGGUGCGAGCGUUGUCCGGAAUUAUUGGGCGUAAAGAGCUCGUAGGCGGCCUGUCGCGUCGGAUGUGAAAGCCCGGGGCUUAACCCCGGGUCUGCAUUCGAUACGGGCAGGCUAGAGUGUGGUAGGGGAGAUCGGAAUUCCUGGUGUAGCGGUGAAAUGCGCAGAUAUCAGGAGGAACACCGGUGGCGAAGGCGGAUUUCUGGGCCAUUACUGACGCUGAGGCACGAAAGCGUGGGGAGCAAACAGG